GUGGUAUAUCGACAUGGGCCUUAACGGGUCUGUAGCUCAGUUGGUUAGAGCACACGCUUGAUAAGCGUGGGGUCGGUGGUUCAAGUCCACCCAGACCCACCAUGGGGGUGUAGCUCAGCUGGGAGAGCACCUGCUUUGCAAGCAGGGGGUCAUCGGUUCGAUCCCGUUCACCUCCACCAAUCAGAUAUAGAACUAAAAUCUGGGUUGAGGCAAAUAAUAUGUUUGUUAGUAGCGUUCUUUAAAAAAUUAGAAAGUAAUUUGGGUUCGAUUGUAUUUUGAUGUAAAACAUAAAAUCAAGAUUAUAUAAAAUUGAAUUGUAUUGUUUGUAAUUGAAUGGUACAGAAUUUUCAAGAUUAUAGGAUCAAGCAAAUAAGUGCAUGUGGUGGAUGCCUUGGCGAUUACAGGCGAUGA
rnacentral:tRNA from 1 species